rnacentral:lncRNA from 1 species
AGAGAUGAGAUGCUGGUGAGAGAGAACGAGGCAGGAAAAGGAGAGAAGGAAUACUAAAUAUAUUUUUCCAUUUAUGUGAUGAAUGUGUUCACAGUACACAAACCAUAGUGUGUGUGGUAGUAAAGAGGAGCAGCACUAGAGGCAUUUUCCAUAGACUGAAGGCAAGAAGGUGGAGGAGGGGUGCUUUUAAGUAAAGACAGCUAAGGUGAAUCCUGAACCGCCAGAAGUAGACAACCAAGUGAAAGAAGGGGAAAGCGUUCCAGACAGAGGUGGGGGAGAAUCUGCAAAGGCACUGAGACCCAAGAAGUCACUGGUUCCUCGGGAGUACAUGUGUUCAAUAAGACUGAAAUCUAUGGUAUAUGGUGAAGGAACUGGGAAAAAACGUGGCCCUGGAGAUAUAAAGAGGGUAUAGAGCGUCUAUGAGAACUGAAUUUCUUAUCAAGACACUCUCAGAUGCCUUUAGAAAAGAGAUGAAUCUCCUUGCUGUCC